rnacentral:lncRNA from 1 species
UUGUUAUGGUCUUGAACGAAGCUGUGAAGCAAGUUCAAGGUGUUUGCCAUUACAUUGUAUUUGUAGUGAUAUGAAUGGAAACUGGAGGUUUCUAUCUAGGAGUUCCUAGGUAUAGAUUGCAUUGGGUAGGGAUUAAGUGAAGAGUUGUAAACGGGGGAGUUUAACUCUGAAUUAAUACUGCUGAUAGUGGAUCUUCUUCCUGGCUUGGUAUGCCCCCAGAGUAGGUGAUGUUGCACCGAACUGGGUUAACAAUUUCCUGUGUUUGUUUUCCUCCUGCAUGUUAUAAUCCUGUCUGCCAUAACUAAGCUUGUAUUUCAGUCUGCUUAUCAAGAUAAUAACAGACCAGAUACAUAGCAUACUGUUUGAAUGUCAAUUAAAAUGUUUUGACAUUCAUCAUUGACAGCAUAUACUGAAUAAUAGGCAGGUUGGUUUUUCUGCUUCAGUUCAGUAUUUAAUUCAGUCUGUUCUUCAAGAGGAUAACAGACCUGGCCAAAGGAUCAUUGUCAAAAUGUCAAACUGGAUGUUUUGACAUUUAUCACUGUAAGCUGAUAAUGAAGUAUAGACUGGUUGGUCUGCUACAGUACAGCAUUUAGCACAGUCUGUUUUCAGGAAAAUAACAGACUUAGCAUAUGGUAUAUGUUCUGGUCGUCAAACUGAAUGUUAUGACAUUCAUCCUAGACAACAUAUGCUAAAUUGUAGGUUGGUUAUUUUUUUGUUUCAGCAGUUUACUCAGGCUAUUCUUCAGGAAGUCAACAGCUGAGCUAAAAUCCAGGAAACUAACAACUAAGCUACAAUUAAUAAACCUAACAAAUGGCCUAUUUGUUAGUACCCUAAUAUGUGGAAAUUAGAUUAACUUGUUCAACCUUUAUUUUAGGAAAUACAAGUACAAGGCCAGCAAACUGUAAUACUGUAACAGGUGACAUUCAAAUCACUAUUCAGACAUCAUGUUGAUAGUUGUGCAGGUUCAACAGAAGUUAGUGCUAUGGUUGAUCUCUGCUGAGUCCUUCUACCCGAUGAACAGAACUGGGUGUUCUUCCAUUCUAUGGUAAUACAGUAGCAGAUGUAGUGACAUCUGCAAAUGUGUGCACAUUAGUACUGGAUGUUAAUUGUAUAGAUAUCUUGUUGUAUUAGUAACAAUGUUGGAUCAGAUGUCAUGACGUGGAGUAGAACAUCUGAACUCUGACUACACCAGAAUUUCAAUUGGUAUCAGAGCAGGCAUCCUGUUCUGUUUCUGGAUGAGAUCCAUGGGUGAUACUUUCUGGUAUCUUGCAAGGAGUUAUGUUAGUACUGAUGUUGGAACCUGUGGAAGGUUCUGUGAUUUCCCUGAAUGGUCCCUUGAAGUAGGUGGAUGGACUAUUCAUGACAGGAACUGUGUGUACCUGUCUCUGGAGGUUGGCAAUUGGCCUUUGUGUGGGACAGUUGUGCCAGUAUUGAAUCAUAUUCAAACUUGGUAUGUUCUUGGAGGCUGAUCUGGUGAAGUGUGUGUUCAUAGGUUGAGUUGUAUUAUGAUUUCCGCUGCAUAAUACCUGGCAAAACUCAAACUCUGAUGUUGUUUCCCCUCAUGUGGAUGAAAGGCUGCUGUAUUCAAGAUCUCAUCAUAAUCUACUGAAGAUGUCAAAGAUACUUGAGUCUCCUCAAGUCCACUCAUCAUGACGUUCUCACUUCAGGAUGGUAAGAAUCACCUGAUCACUGAUUCUUUUACUCUCUUGGGUAGUGUAUAUGAAGACCUUGAAGAUUUUCAAGGAGGGUUUGUUCCAAGGAGGUGGAACUAAUGUUCUAUGUGAUGUUAGAACAUGUUGUUCAACAAGUAUGCAGCUACUGGUUGAAGAGCAGAUGUUUUUAGGUGUCAAACAAAGGGAUACUUUUGUUUGGAACCUACUCCUGACCUGGAAGAGGAGACAUCUGUGUGUGCUAAGUUGACAAGGGUAGGGUCAACUGUGUGUGUGCUCAAGAAGGUCACUUUUAGAAGUCUGAUCUCUAGAAGUGGAGCUGGUUGAGAUGUGACAUUGUGCAAUUUCCUGCUGUUUGUCUUAUUCCUGUAGAUUGAUCAGGGUUGGAUAGUUGUUCCCUGAAGUACUAUGUUGUGUUGGAAGACAAGUCCCCUGGAUGUUAGAAGUCAAUAAUGGGGUAACCUGAUUGCUAUUUCAUUUAAGAGGAUUGGGACCAUGAAUCUUGUUAUUCAAACACCACGCUCAGAAGUGGCAGUUCUUUCAAGGAGUGAGAAUAUGAAGAUUCAGAGGUUGGUUGAGGUAGUAUGCUCUGGCAAUGCAUAUCUACUAUUGACUGGUGUUGUUUUCUUUCACUAGUACUUAUGGUCAGCUGGAGUCUGAUUGGUGUGAUUGGAGUAUGUAUAGGUAUAACUCAUAGAGUUAGUUGCCACUGGUAGGGAUGGUGUAUGUCAUGUUGAGACAUUUGUGUACAAUGCAUGGAUAUUGGUGUGGAGUUUCCAUGAUUGUUAAUUUGAGGGGGAGUUUUGGUUAACCUCCUCACGUUUGGUCAGCCUAGGGUCUGGUUGGCUGUUGACCUGUGUCACAUGGGUUCUGGUUGUUGUGUGACACAUUUGCAAGGAAGGAUUCAUCUCUCUCAUUCCUAAGGGUGAAUCUAAUCUGGAAAGAUUCUCAAAACUGUUGAGGUGCUUGCAAGCAGAAGAUGUUGACACAAGAAGAGUAUUUUCAAAGUAUUCUUAUGGUGGAAGUAUCUGAAAGGAUAAUUGGGAAAGGAUUUAAGAUCAAUGUCUACUUGUGCCAAGUACAAGUAUUUAAUUGAUUAUCCUUGGAGCUCCAGAUAACUGAUGUUCUUAAAGAUGUUGGAACAUCUCUUCUUCAAGACCCUGUGCAGAAUCACAGGAAGGAUAGUACAGUGGUUUAUGAUCUAUCUCUUUGGUGGCAGCAAAAGCAUAUGAUCUCUGAAAAGGUUUCCUGGCAAGAAACAUGUUCAGCCUUGGUGUGAACAAGAAGAAGAAGACAUCAUAGUCUUGAUGGUGGUUACUUGGAUCAGUUUAUUUCUGAUAUAGGUAAGGAAGUGCAUUGGCUAAUGCACACUGUGGAGUUAAGAACAAGUGGCCGCAUUCUUGACAUCAUGGAAACAGCCUUGCUUUAGGAAGUGGAAUCCUUGGUAUAGAUGAAGGGUUAGUCUCUAACUGGUCCUUCUGAAGACUCAUGCAUCAGAGUGUCUGAUGUCUUUGGAGAAGAAGCAGGGAUUCAUCAAGGUGUGAGCGUGGAUGACUUAACUGGAAACCUGCAGGAUGGAGGUUGUUUACUCAAACUUGGUUCCACAAUCAAGUCUAUGAGAGCGUUAAACUCUUGUUCUGUGUAGGGAGGAAGUUCUUUCAAGUGGCAGAAGAAGGAGCUGAAUUCAACAGCUAGAUGUUAAAACACAAUGUUGUGACAUUUGGUUCAACAUCAGAAUCUUAGUUGGUGAAGUGGCACAUCAACUUAAGAUAGAAGGGUCUACAGAGUUGUAGAUUGGGUACUUCAAAAAGAUCGUUCUCAUUGCAGUUCUUUGGAGUUGCUGGAUGGAGAAGAUGUUACAUGUUCAUGUCUUAGAGAAUCUAAGUUUUGUUUAACAUGUAGCUUGAAGUUCAAGUCUCACUUGGAAGGUCAGAAUAUCUUUGGGAGAAGUCUGAUAAACUUGGAGAGGUCAAAAAGUGGCAUUUGACUUUUUCAUAUGAGGAUUCAUGAAGGAGGUAAUCAACCAGUGGCAUUUGGUCUAUCUCAGAAGUGAGUUCGAAGAAUCAAGAUAAUCAACAUAUGGCAGCUGAUUAUUCUUGAGGAAAGUCUGAGACAAAUUACUUUUGAGCAGAAAAGUAGUAAGUUGAAGACAAAAGGAGGUGUUUUCUAUUCAUCCCUUGGAGCUUGUGGUAGGAGUUCUGAGCUAUCUAUGGAAGAUUAUCUCUUGUAAUGGGAUGAGAAUGUAUAUGUCCCAAUUUGUGUCUGGGUUCUUUUGGAUCAAGCUGGUGACUCAGUGAUAUCUGAAGAUUAUCAGAUGGUGUUCUUUGUUAUGUUGUGAAGGAUGUCCUAACUAAUGUUAGAACAUUUUGUGAAGUGGUUUUCUGUUCUGGUUAGAAGAGAGAUUGACACAGAGUGUGGAUGUGUUCAGCCAAGAGGGUUGAACAGAGGGUGUGCUCUUGAAGACAUGAAGAUGCGUCUUAUGUUUUCCAUUCAUCAAGUGGUCUGGGUUCUCUUUGAAUCAGGAAGUAUGUGAAGGUCCAACUUUGGGGUGUUGGAUAUGUUCAUGUGUGAUCUCCAAGUUUCAAGAGGAGAGUUGGUUGUUCAUGACAGGGGGAGUUCUGUCUUUGUGCUGCAAGUAAUCAUCAAGCUUGUGGUCUAUGUGUUCUCAGAUAACAAGGUAUGGCACCUUGUUAGUUAGUGGGAUGAUGUGGUGUGUGUCAAGGCUGAGUGAGCAGAAGAAUGUCUGACCGGAUGUCAUGACAUUGCCUUGGACAAUAUUGUUAUUUCCUUCUGAAACUUACAGUCAUAAGGAAAUAUGGAUGUGGUGUGUCUCAUUAUGAUAUAUUAGAAUGAGCCUGUGUGUUACAGUUGUGUGGUACAGGGGGAGUAACCAUCUACUGUUGUUUGUGAUUUUGGUUGUAGUGGUGCUAGAUGUCAAGCUACCACUGGAGGUAAGAAAGUGGUUUUAGGAAAAAGUGGAUGAUUACUUGAUCAAAGCUGUGAAGCAAGAUCAAGUGGGUGGUGUCUUGAUCAAAGCUGUAAAGCAAGAUCAAGAGGGGGUAUUCUUGAUUGAAACUGUGAAGUAAAAUCAAGAUUGUGUAUCUGUCAUUUGUGUGUAAUUCUGUUUAUGUUGGUCUGUAAUUUAAAGUGUUGCUUUGGCAACAUUUUUGACAAAAAGGGGGAGUAACACCUGUGAUGCCCCAGGACAACAGAUUGUUUUGCUAAACAGAUAUUGAAGAUCCUCUAAUCCAGAGGUAGUGCUGCAGCUGAUGUUCCACUUCUAUGAGUGUGAGUGUGUGUAUGUGUGCUGCAAUUAGAAGUUUUUAUUUAACUUCUGUAUGUGUGCUGUUAUGUGAAGUUUUUAUUUAACUUCCAUCUGUGUGAGUGUGCUGCUACUCUGAGUGUAUUAGCUAGGUUAAUUUCCUGCUAGAUGUGUGUUUUCCGCUGCUAUGGACUCUGUUGUGAAGCCAAAGUGUUUUAGCCAAAAAUUUGCCAAAGGGGGAGUUUGUAGAUGUUUGAUUGGCUGCAUUGUAUGGUAAAACACUAGCUGGAUUCUAAUGUCUUGACUGAUGUCAUGACAUGCUGUGGAGAUGUUUGUUUGACUGCAUUGUAUGUUAGAAUACCUAGCUGUACUCUGAUGUCUUGGCUGAUGUCAUGACAUUCUGAGUAGUGUACUGCAGGAUUAGCUAAUACAGGAUUCAUUGAAUGUCAAACUGGAUGUUAUGACAUUCAUCCCUGUCAGCAGAUACUGAGGAAUAGAACAGUUGGUGUUCUGCUAUAACUCAGUAUUUAUUUUCAGUCUGUUUAUCAAGGAAAUAACAGACCUGGCAUAAGGCCUACUGUCUGAAUGUCAAACUGGAUGUUAUGACAUUCAUCAUUGACAGCAUAUACUGAACAAUAGGCAGAUUGGUUUUCUGCUACAUUUCAGUAUGCAACUCAGUCUGCUUAUCAAGAGGAUAACAGACCUGAUGUAAGGCUCUAUGUGUGAAUGUCAAAUUGGAUGUUUUGACAUUUAUUAAUGUACGCUGAUACUGAAGUAUGGACAGAUUGGUUCUGUACAGUACAGCAAAUUGUACAGUCUGUUUUCAGGAAAAACAGACUUAGCAUAUGGUUAAUGAUUUGGAAGUCAAACUGAAUGUUGUGACAUUCAUUCCUGACAGCAUAUGCUAUAUUGUAGGUUGUUUAGUUUUUCUGUUUCAGCAUUUUUCUCAGGCUAAAAUCCAGGAAACCAACAACCAAGCUACAAUUAAGGAACCUAACAAAUAGCCUAUUUGUUAGCACACUAAUAUGUGGAAAUUAGUUAGAAUCCUAUGUGGCAUUAUUUGUGGAGGUCUUGAGAUAUUUUAGGAACUAAAUAUGGAGAUAUUUUAGGAACUAAAUAUGGAGAUAUUUUAGGAACUAAAAGAUUGAAGACCUUGUUUGUAGCAGAAAGUUUCUGCUGAUGUUGUAACAGCAAAGGAGAAGUUUGCUGCGAUUUCUGAAGGCCCAAAUCCACUUGGGUGAUUAGGUUAUAAAUAGCUGAUUGUAAUCUAGUCUUUGUAAGCCUCUUAGAAUGAAUUUUUAGGGGUGUGUGUAAGGUAAACCUCCCAAUCUGUGGGAAGGUUACCAUGUGUUUCUCAGUGGUAAACCUGAGAGUGUUUGUCACUCAAAGCCUGUAGGCAAGAGUGAUUAUGUUCUUGAAUGAAGCUGUGAAGCAAGUUCAAGGUGUUUGCACAUUACAUUGUAUUUGUAGUGAUAGGAAUGGAAACUGGAGGUUUCUAUCUAGGAGUUCCUAGGUAUAGAUUGCAUUGGGUAGGGAUUAAGUGAUGAGUUGUAAACGGGGGAGUUUAACUCUGAAUUAAUACUGCUGAUAGUGGAUCUUCUUCCUGGCUUGGUAUGCCCCCAGAGUAGGUGAUGUUGCACCGAACUGGGUUAACAAUUUCCUGUGUUUGUUUUCCUCUUGCAUGUUAUAAUCCUGUCUGCCAUAACUAAGCUUGUAUUUCAGUCUGCUUAUCAAGAUAAUAACAGACCAGAUACAUAGCAUACUGUUUGAAUGUCAAUCAGAAUGUUUUGACAUUCAUCAUUGACAGCAUAUACUGAAUAAUAGGCAGGUUGGAUUUUCUGCUUCAGUUCAGUAUUUAAUUCUGUCUGUUCUUCAAGAGGAUAACAGACCUGGCCAAAGGAUCAUUGUCAAAAUGUCAAACUGGAUGUUUUGACAUUUAUCACUGUAAGCUGAUAGUGACGUAUACACUGGUUGAUCUGCUACAGUACAGCAUUUAGCACUGUCUGUUUUCAGGAAAAUAACAGACUUAGCACAUGGUAUAUGUUCUGGUCGUCAAACUGAAUGUUAUGACAUUCAUCCUAGACAGCAUAUGCUAAAUUGUAGGUUGGUUAGUUUUUUGUUUCAGCAGUUUUCUCAGGCUAUUCUUCAGGAAGUCAACAGCUGAGCUAAAAUCCAGGAAACUAACAACUAAGCUACAAUUAAUGAACCUAACAAAUGGCCUUUUUGUUAGUACCCUAAUAUGUGGAAAUUAGGUUAACUUGUUCAACCUUUAUUUUAGGAAAUACAAGUACAAGGCCAGCAAACUGUAAUACUGUAACAGGUGACGUUCAAAUCACUAUUGAGACAUCAUGUUGAUAACUGUGCAGGUUCAACAGAAGUUAGUGCUAUGGUUGAUCUCUGCUGAGUCCUUCUACCCGAUGAACAGAACUGGGUGUUCUUCCAUUCUAUGGUAAUACAGUAGCAGAUGUAGUGACAUCUGCAAAUGUGUGCACAUUAGUACUGGAUGUUAAUUGUAUAGAUAUCUUGCGGUAUUAGUAACAAUGUUGGAUCAGAUGUCAUGACGUGGAGUAGAACAUCUGAACUCUGACUACACCAGAAUUUCAAUUGGUAUCAGAGCAGGCAUCCUGUUCUGUUUCUGGAUGAGAUCCAUGGGUGAUACUUUCUGGUAUCUUGCAAGGAGUUAUGUUAGUACUGAUGUUGGAACCUGUGGAAGGUUCUGUGAUUUCCCUGAAUGGUCCCUUGAAGUAGGUGGAUGGACUAUUCAUGACAGGAACUGUGUGUACCUGUCUCUGGAGGUUGGCAAUUGGCCUUUGUGUGGGACAGUUGUGCCAGUAUUGAAUCACAUUCAAACUUGGUAUGGUCUUGGAGGCUGAUCUGGUGAAGUGUGUGUUCAUAGGUUGAGUUGUAUUAUGAUUUCCGCUGCAUAAUACCUGGCAAAACUCAAACUCUGAUGUAGUUUCCCCUCAUGUGGAUGAAAGGCUGCUGUAUUCAAGAUUUCAUCAUAAUCUACUGAAGAUGUCAAAGAUACUUGAGUCUCCUCAAGUCCACUCAUCAUGACGUUCUCACUUCAGGAUGGUAAGAAUCACCUGAUCACUGAUUCUUUUACUCUCUUGGGUAGUGUAUAUGAAGACCUUGAAGACUUUCAAGGAGGGUUUGUUCCAAGGAGGUGGAACUAAUGUUCUAUGUGAUGUUAGAACAUGUUGUUCAACAAGUAUGCAGCUACUGGUUGAAGAGCAGAUGUUUUUAGGUGUCAAACAAAGGGAUACUUUUGUUUGGAACCUACUCCUGACCUGGAAGAGGAGACAUCUGUGUGUGCUAAGUUGACAAGGGUAGGGUCAACUGUGUGUGUGCUCAAGAAGGUCACUUUUAGAAGUCUGAUCUCUAGAAGUGGAGCUGGUUGAGAUGUGACAUUGUGAAAUUUCCUGCUGUUUGUCUUAUUCCUGUAGAUUGAUCAGGGUUGGAUAGUUGUUCCCUGAAGUACUAUGUUGUGUUGGAAGACAAGUCCCCUGGAUGUUAGAAGUCAAUAAUGGGGUAACCUGAUUGCUAUUUCAUUUAAGAGGAUUGGGACCAUGAAUCUUGUUAUUCAAACACCACGCUCAGAAGUGGCAGUUCUUUCAAGGAGUGAGAAUAUGAAGAUUCAGAGGUUGGUUGAGGUAGUAUGCUCUGGCAAUGCAUAUCUACUAUUGACUGGUGUUGUUUUCUUUCACUAGUACUGAUGGUCAGCUGGAGUCUGAUUGGUGUGAUUGGAGUAUGUAUAGGUAUAACUCAUAGAGUUAGUUGCCACUGGUAGGGAUGGUGUAUGUCAUGUUGAGACAUUUGUGUACAAUGCAUGGAUAUUGGUGUGGAGUUUCCAUGAUUGUUAAUUUGAGGGGGAGUUUUGGUUAACCUCCUCACGUUUGGUCAGCCUAGGGUCUGGUUGGCUGUUGACCUGUGUCACAUGGGUUCUGGUUGUUGUGUGACACAUUUGCAAGGAAGGAUUCAUCUCUCUCAUUCCUAAGGGUGAAUCUAAUCUGGAAAGAUUCUCAAAACUGUUGAGGUGCUUGCAAGCAGAAGAUGUUGACACAAGAAGAGUAUUUUCAAAGUAUUCUUAUGGUGGAAGUAUCUGAAAGGAUAAUUGGGAAAGGAUUUAAGAUCAAUGUCUACUUGUGCCAAGUACAAGUAUUUAAUUGAUUAUCCUUGGAGCUCAAGAUAACUGAUGUUCUUAAAGAUGUUGGAACAUCUCUUCUUCAAGACCCUGUGCAGAAUCACAGGAAGGAUAGUACAGUGGUUUAUGAUCUAUCUCUUUGGUGGCAGCAAAAGCAUAUGAUCUCUGAAAAGGUUUCCUGGCAAGAAACAUGUUCAUCCUUGGUGUGAACAAGAAGAAGAAGACAUCAUAGUCUUGAUGGUGGUUACUUGGAUCAGUUUAUUUCUGAUAUAGGUAAGGAAAUGCAUUGGCUAAUGCACACUGUGGAGUUAAGAACAAGUGGCCGCAUUCUUGACAUCAUGGAAACAGCCUUGCUUUAGGAAGUGGAAUCCUUGGUAUAGCUGAAGGGUUAGUCUCUAAAUGGUCCUUCUGAAGACUCAUGCAUCAGAGUGUCUGAUGUCUUUGGAGAAGAAGCAGGGAUUCAUCAAGGUGUGAGCGUGGACGACUUAAUCGGAAACCUGCAGGAUGGAGGUUGUUUACUCAAACUUGGUUCCACAAUCAAGUCUAUGAGAGUGUUGAACUCUUGUUCUGUGUAGGGAGGAAGUUCUUUCAAGUGGCAGAAGAAGGAGCUGAAUUCAACAGCUAGAUGUUAAAACACAAUGUUGUGACAUUUGGUUCAACAUCAGAAUCUUAGUUGGUGAAGUGGCACAUCAACUUAAGAUAGAAGGGUCUACAGAGUUGUAGAUUGGGUACUUCAAAAAGAUCGUUCUCAUUGCAGUUCUUUGGAGUUGCUGGAUGGAGAAGAUGUUACAUGUUCAUGUCUUAGAGAAUCUAAGUUUUGUUUAACAUGUAGCUUGAAGUUCAAGUCUCACUUGGAAGGUCAGAAUAUCUUUGGGAGAAGUCUGAUAAACGUGGAGAGGUCAAUAAGUGGCAUUUGACUUUUUCAUAUGAGGAUUCAUGAAGGAGUUAAUCAACCAGUGGCAUUUGGUCCAUCUCAGAAGUGAGUUCGAAGAAUCAAGAUAAUCAAUAUAUGGCAGCUGAUUAUUCUUGAGGAAAGUCUGAGACAAAUUACUUUUGAGCAGAAAAGUAGUAAGUUAAAGACAAGAGAAGGUGUUUUCUAUUCAUCUCUUGGAGCUUGUGGUAGGAGUUCUGAGCUAUCUAUGGAAGAUUAUAUCUCGUAAUGGGAUGAGAAUGUAUAUGUCCCAAUUUAUGUCUGGGUUCUUUUGGAUCAAGCUGGUGACUCAGUGAUAUCUAAAGAUUAUCAGAUGGUGCUCUUUGUUAUGUUGUGAAGGAUGUCCUAACUAAUGUUAGAACAUUUUGUGAAGAGGUUUUCUGUUCUGGUUAGAAGAGAGAUUGACACAGAGUGUGGAUGUGUUCAGCCAAGAGGGUUGAACAGAGAGUGUGCUCUUGAAGACAUGAAGAUGCGUCUUAUGUUUUCCAUUCAUCAAGUGGUCUGGGUUCUCUUUGAAUCAGGAAGUAUGUGAAGGUCCAACUUUGGGGUGUCGGAUAUGUUCAUGUGUGAUCUCCAAGUUUCAAGAGGAGAGUUGGUUGUUCAUGACAGGGGGAGUUCUGUCUUUGUGAUGCAAGUAAUCAUAAAGCUUGGGGUCUAUGUGUUCUCAGAUAACAAGGUAUGGCACCUUGUUAGUUAAUGGGAUGAUGUGGUGUGUGUCAAUGCUGAGUGAGCAUAAGAAUGUCUGACCGGAUGUCAUGACAUUGCCUUGGACAAUACUGUUAUUUCCUUCUGAAUAUUACAGUCAUGAGGAAAUAUGGAUGUGAUGUGUCUAAUUAUGAUAUAUCAGAAUAAGCCUGUGUGUUACAGUUGUGUGGUACAGCGGGAGUAACCAUCUACUGAUGUUUGGGAUUUUGGUUGUAGUGGUGCCAGAUGUCAAGCUACUACUGGAGGUACGAAAGUGGUCUUAGGAAAUGAUGAGAGGAAGAAUACAUGAAGAAUGCAGGCAAAAGUCGUGUUAAAUGUUAAGACAUCGCGUGCAACGUGUCUGACUGCAUAUAUGGAAUAGUCUUCAUGCACUGGAACUGUUGUUUAGGAAAAGAAACAGUCAAGAGCUAUAAAAGGUAUUCAAAGAUAGUCUGAGAUUUUGUUGGUGAUUCUCUGACUGUUUCUUAGCAAAUAUUAAUGAAUCUUUACCAAGCAUUUAUUCCUACCGUUAAUUCCUAAGCACGGUCUGGACUAUUUAAAGGAUGUAUCAGCACUCCUCUUCUCACAAGAGAGACAUUCCAUUCCCUCUAAACCAUGGGGUAUGUUAAGGUUUGGGCAAAUUGCGCCUGGAUUUGUAUUUGUGAAGGGUUCAUUUAUAAAUGUUUAGCUAAAAGGGGGAGAGAAACAUUGUCCUGAGAAUGUACAAGAAGCAAGCAAGAUGUGGUAGCGAGCAGAAGUUGGCUUCAGACACAAAAGACACUAACUGGGUAUAUCACUUGUGUCUUGUGAUCUGAGUUAAGAGGACAGUUGUGUCUUGUGAUCUGAGUUACAUUAUCUAUGUACUCAGCAUUACAUAUUCUUCAGGAAGCUCUACAGCUGAGGGGAAGGGUUUUGAUGCAAUUGAUUCUUGUACAUCUACUUCCUCAUGUACACCAACUUUGGUGUUUGUGGUGGUGGAUGGAGAUAGUUUGGGAACUAAAAGAUUGAAGACCUUGAUUGUAGCAGAAGUUUCUGCUGACUUUGUAACAGCAAAGAAGAAGUUUGCUGCGAUUUCUGAAGGCCCAAAUCCAGUUGGGUGCUUAGGUCAUAAAUAGCAUAUUGUAACCUAGUUUUAGUAAGCCUCAUAGAAUGUAAAAUUAAGGGUGUGUGAGGUAAACCUCCCAACCUGUGGGAAGGUUACCAUGUGUGUCUCAAUGCUCAAAGCUGAGAUUAGUUGUAACUCAAAGCCUGUAGGCAAGAGUUUGUUAUGGUCUUGAACGAAGAUGUGAAGCAAGUUCAAGGUGUUUAGCAUUACAUUGUAUUUGUAGUGAUAGGAAUGGAAACUGGAGGUUUCUAUCUAGGAGUUCCUAGGUAUAGAUUGCAUUGGGUAGGGAUUAAGUCAAGAGUUGUAAACGGGGGAGUUUAACUCUGAAUUAAUACUGUUGAUAGUGGAUCUUCUUCCUGGAUUGGUAUGCCCCCAGAGUAGGUG